UUGCAGGCCUCAUGCUGGGCAGAGCUAAGGAAAUUCAAUUUGUCUCCAAUCUUAUUUGAAUAUUCUUAUGCCUCCUACAAGUGCAGCAGCAGAAUCUCCACAAAUCUGGCUACAGAGUGCGGUGGCGCCAGCACAGAGCUCUGCUCAACGUCCCUCUGUGCUUUCACGAUGCUGAUGGAUUAUGAAGAUGAGGAAGCGGAUGCAUAGCAAGUUUAAAUAGCUUGCAGAAGGACACACAGUUUGCAAGUGAAGGAGCUCAAAUUCAAAGACUGGCAGUCUGCAUCCAGAGUUGAUCAUCUUAAAUACCAUGCUGAACCGGUUGCUCUCAAAGUCUAAACAGUAUUUUUUACAAUAAGAUAUCCUUUUGUAGGUCAACGAAUAGUUUCUAAUUCUUUUUAAAAUAAAAUACAAUGAACUGAAUACAA
rnacentral:lncRNA from 1 species